UUAGGACAAAAAAGAAAGGGAAGAAGGAGAAAUGGAAGGUAUUGUGGGAGACGAGCUAAAUCACCAUCUUCCAUUUUCAAAAUGCAAUACAGUCAAUGCCAUUUUAAAGGAAGAUCAAGGGAUCAAGGCCAAGUCCAAAAAUUUUACAACAAGAUGAAUAAUUUCUUCCAUUUAAAAUCCUAUGUUUCCAUAGGUCUAAUUUUCUGAAAUAUAAUUUACACCAUUACAAUAGGAAGAAAAUAAUUUAAAUAUCUGCACAAAAUGGUAUCACCCCAUUGGUCUUUUAGCUUUCAUUGGGAGCAUCAGCUUUUCGUAAUAAAGACGCAUCAGUGUAAGUUUUCUAUCUCUGGAUCAUUUAAUACAAGAAAAAUGCAAAUGCAAAUAAAACCUCCAAAAACCAAAAAGCAAAACUCACGAAGCUCAUCCUAGAAGGACUGUCCCAAGUCUGCUGAUGCUUGUUUGUAUUACUUUACUGAAAGGACAUUUACACACAUUUGUAACAUGCUCUCAUGGAACUGAACAGGAGGAAGACACUUCCCCCAGGAGCGGAUCCAAGGCUGUUCGCUGUUCCCAUUGACGUUGGUGUUCUCCACGCGCAGAAGCAACAGCGAACCCCCGAAAAUCAAACCACUGAAGGAUGGCGACCCCAAAUUAAAAACUACAACAACAAAUAGGGAAGAGGAGGAAUAAAAUAUAUAAGGAGAUCCUGCAAUGAUGCAAAAUCGAUGGAGGCCCUGGUCUACUAUUGAGUAGCCACGUGUUGACGAGGAAUGCAGGUCUGCCAAAGGGAGUUCUCUCUUUAGAUUGGCUGCAUCCCAGCACCAGAGGAGGGGUCCCUGACUGCGCUGGUGCUAAGAAAAGGACAGGCAGACACAACACCCAUGUCAGCUGUGAAGGAUUACACAGCUGGUGGCCAGCAUCCCCUCGGGCACCAAAUGGUCUGUCUGCCUCACAAAGCCAGGCUAGCUUUCAAAGUUGUCUAUCUACC
rnacentral:lncRNA from 1 species